rnacentral:rRNA from 1 species
UACGAAGGGGCUAGCGUUGUUCGGAAUUACUGGGCGUAAAGCGCAUGUAGGCGGGUCGGCAAGUCAGAUGUGAAUCCCGGCUCACCUGGAACUGCAUCUGAACUGCUGUCUUGAGUACUGGAGAGGUGGCGGAAUUCCGGUGUAGAGGUGAAUUCGUAGAUAUCAGGAGGAACACCGGUGGCGAAGGCGGCCACCUGGACAGUAACUGACGCUGAGAUGCGAAGCGUGGGGAGCAAACAGG